GAACGCUGGCGGCAUGCCUUACACAUGCAAGUCGAACGGCAGCACGGGAGCAAUCCUGGUGGCGAGUGGCGAACGGGUGAGUAAUAUAUCGGAACGUGCCCAGUCGUGGGGGAUAACGUAGCGAAAGCUACGCUAAUACCGCAUACGAUCUAUGGAUGAAANCGGGGGAUCGCAAGACCUCGCGCGAUUGGAGCGGCCGAUAUCAGAUUAGGUAGUUGGUGAGGUAAAGGCUCACCAAGCCGACGAUCUGUAGCUGGUCUGAGAGGACGACCAGCCACACUGGGACUGAGACACGGCCCAGACUCCUACGGGAGGCAGCAGUGGGGAAUUUUGGACAAUGGGCGCAAGCCUGAUCCAGCAAUGCCGCGUGCAGGAUGAAGGCCUUCGGGUUGUAAACUGCUUUUGUACGGAACGAAACGGUGAGCUCUAAUACAGUUUGCUAAUGACGGUACCGUAAGAAUAAGCACCGGCUAACUACGUG
rnacentral:rRNA from 1 species